CGCGUAGGGGGCAAGCGUUGUCCGGAUUUAUUGGGCGUAAAGAGCUCGUAGGCGGUUCGGUAAGUCGGGUGUGAAACCUCCAGGCUCAACCUGGAGACGCCACCCGAUACUGCUGUGACUAGAGUCCGGUAGGGGAGCGUGGAAUUCCUGGUGUAGCGGUGAAAUGCGCAGAUAUCAGGAGGAACACCGGUGGCGAAGGCGGUUCUCUGGGCAUUACCUGACGCUGAGGAGCGAAAGUGUGGGGAGCGAACAGG
rnacentral:rRNA from 1 species